rnacentral:tRNA from 1 species
AUUUAUAUAGUUUAACAAAACAUUACAUUUUCACUGUAAAAAUAAAUAUUUUUAUUUUAUAAAUA